UACAGAGGUCUCAAGCGUUGUUCGGAUUCAUUGGGCGUAAAGGGUGCGUAGGCGGCGCGGUAAGUCGGGUGUGAAAUCUUGGAGCUUAACUCCGAAACUGCAUUCGAUACUGCCGUGCUUGAGGACUGGAGAGGAGACUGGAAUUUACGGUGUAGCGGUGAAAUGCGUAGAUAUCGUAAAGAAGACCAGUGGCGAAGGCGGGUCUCUGGACAGUUCCUGACGCUGAGGCACGAAGGUCAGGGGAGCAAACGGG
rnacentral:rRNA from 1 species